rnacentral:rRNA from 1 species
UACGAAGGGGGCUAGCGUUGCUCGGAAUUACUGGGCGUAAAGGGCGCGUAGGCGGCCGAUCAAGUCAGGCGUGAAAUUCCCGGGCUCAACCUGGGGGCUGCGCUUGAUACUGAUUGGCUUGAAUGCGGGAGAGGAUAGUGGAAUUCCCAGUGUAGAGGUGAAAUUCGUAGAUAUUGGGAAGAACACCGGUGGCGAAGGCGGCUAUCUGGCCCGUAAUUGACGCUGAGGCGCGAAAGCGUGGGGAGCAAACAGG